AUCUUUUCGUCCACAAGGAUUGUUCCAAUUAACUCUACAGGUCCCGGAGACCAUAGAGAUUUUGGGAAGGCAGGUUUGGCACAUCAAUUACAAAGUGUACAUUGUAAGCCUGGAUACUUGUGCCUCAUGUGUGAUACUAUAGAAAUGUCUGUGUUAUUGCCAGUCCCAAAAGCCUCAAAGAUAGAGCAUACUGUGGUAGUCAUUAAAAGGACCAUGUCUUGCACUAAAUAAGAGUUGCAGACAGUUCUAGACAUCUAACACUGAGAGGACUGUACAGUUGUCGCCUCCAGGUAUUUCUCUAGAGUUUCGCGCACAGGAGACCAAGAGAGAAAGGCUUUCCCUCUACAUGCUAUACAAGACUUAAGAGUUGUGGAAAAGAAACAUAAACAGAAAUGUAAUAGUCUUUGUAAAAGAACAAGUUUCUCACUUCCUAACUACAGAUACCGUGGAUGCGGGCUGAGUAGGACAUCUGAACAGUACUUACCUGUCAGAGAAAUGGAGAGGGAAGCAGGGGACUUGGCAUUAGAACUUCUGACUUAUAUGUCGUGUACCAGAUAUGCAAUAAAAGUGCUUCUGAGUAAAUUGCAAGGGGCGCACAUCCUGUAGCCCAAGCUAUCAAUCAGACUUUGGUCGCCCACAUACAAAGGUUGCUGACUCUCUUAGCUCUUACAACUGAGUAACUGUACCUAGCUGAAAAGUUGAGAAUAACUCUUGGCACGCUUCCAGGACGCCUAAAUGGCCUUUGAUUUAGAUUGCCUCUCAAGAAAUCAACCUGUACCGGAGUGGCUUCUCCUACCUUGUACAACAGGAAAUAUAAUAUUUCGGAAGCUCCUGAUAUGGACCAUUUCGCUACCCAAAGGAAUGCUUUAGUGCCAAGGCAUAUUUGCCAAAGCCUGCUCCGAAUUUUGCGACAUCUGCAGUCGUUGAUGGAGCUGACGCCUAGACUGAAUAUUCCCUUUCAAGGGUAAUCCUCCAAGUGCACUAGCGCACCUCGCACCCCGGGACCGGGGCAGAUACAUAGCACCCAAGGGUGGCUUAUGGUUGAUAUAAUAAAUAAUAAUAAUAUACGGGCAUUUGUCCGCAACUCAAUGUCAAGCGCCUAAAGAUGGCUUAUGGUUAUUGACUAUUAUGGUUAUAUAUGGUUAUUGACCCGGAAGUCAUGAGCACUCAGACCAUUGGUGAAUGGCCUUACGGCCUUAUGGCCCCCCAACUGCUCAGUCAGAAAAGGGGGGGGGGAGGGGAGAAAACAGCCCAUUGUAAAGCAAAGGAGAAAGAGCAGUUAAGUAGUGGUGCCCCUCCACAGUGCCAACAUAUGACCCUCCAAGCAGGAGGUGACUUUCAUAAUGCAAUGCUAAAAAAAAAAAAAAAAAAAGAAUGCAUGUAAUCUAGUACACAGGGGUUCUAUUUUAUUGGCUUAAGUCUAUCAUAAGCAAGCUGACCCUGUUCAUGACAUGAACAUGACUUCUGAAAACCUCAAAAUACAGUUUUUUAUCACAGCAAGAUAAGAUUAUAACCUGACCUGAAUUUGGAUAUUAAAUGGAUACAACAACACAUUAUCCAUCAGGUGGUCGGUUGUGAGGAAACUCAGACACAUAGAUAUGCCCAGUGACCCAUGUGGAAAGGUUGGUUCAAGUAACAAAGGACUGAUUUUCAAUCUUAAAAGUAGAUAAUUGAUUCUUAUCUAUAAAGGGGCGGACCCUUUAACCUUGCAACACAAACCUUUAUCUCUGGCUAGUUAAGGUCCCUCCAGAUCUUAAAGACAGUAAACGUAGCAGCCCUGUCCAGCAGUGGCUUCAAGAAUGUGGUAAGGGCACCAACCCGUGGAGGCAGUGGAAGGACCAUACAGUCAAUUAUAAAAGUUUUACUGUCAAUCAGUCAAUUUAGCCAGUGCCAGUGAGUCUGGUUUACUUUAAGCAGAUAUCAAACACAUCUUCAUCCAACGCUGUGUGUUUUAGAAAGACACAUAAUAUUGAUGUUUUGCAUUAAAACAAAACAUGUAUUAUGUGUCGAAUAAAACACACAGCGUUGCAGUUUACUGCUUGCUGAUGAAGAUGCUAUGGAGCUUGGAAGAUGACAGCGCUUCAAAGGCGAUGAUGUUGAUGACAGAUGCCAUACUAGGGACGCGCUCUUGCUAGUGAGGUGAAAGAUCCAUCGAUAUUUGGUAAGGUGACCCAAUUUGCAUAGAGAUAUAUAGGAUUCAUAGACUGCUUUCUUCAUCCAACGCUGUGUGUUUUAUUCGACACAUAAUACAUGUUUUGUUUUAAUGCAAAACAUCAAUAUU